rnacentral:rRNA from 1 species
GACGUAGGGCGCGAGCGUUGUCCGGAUUUAUUGGGCGUAAAGAGCUCGUAGGCGGCUUGUCGCGUCGUCCGUGAAAACCCACAGCUCAACUGUGGGCUUGCGGUCGAUACGGGCAGGCUAGAGUUCGGUAGGGGAGACUGGAAUUCCUGGUGUAGCGGUGAAAUGCGCAGAUAUCGGGAGGAACACCGGUGGCGAAGGCGGUUCUCUGGGCCUUACCUGACACUGAGGAGCGAAAGCGUGGGGAGCAAACAGG